rnacentral:tRNA from 1 species
CAUUAUUCUCACUUGGACUCUAGACCAAGACCUGGGGUACGAAAAACCCCCGUUGUAUUUUCAACUAUAAAAACUAACACUAAACCAA